AUUCUAAAUAAAAUUUAAUUUAUAAUAAAGUUCUAAACUUUAUGCAUAUACUUCUGCCAAUUUAGA
rnacentral:tRNA from 1 species